rnacentral:rRNA from 1 species
GCGGCAAGACGGAAAGACCCCGUGAACCUUUACUAUAGCUUGACACUGAACAUUGAGCCUUGAUGUGUAGGAUAGGUGGGAGGCUUUGAAGUGUGGACGCCAGUCUGCAUGGAGCCGACCUUGAAAUACCACCCUUUAAUGUUUGAUGUUCUAACGUAGGCCCCUUAUCGGGGUUGCGGACAGUGUCUGGUGGGUAGUUUGACUGGGGCGGUCUCCUCCUAAAGAGUAACGGAGGAGCACGAAGGUUGGCUAAUCCUGGUCGGACAUCAGGAGGUUAGUGCAAUGGCAUAAGCCAGCUUGACUGCGAGCGUGACGGCGCGAGCAGGUGCGAAAGCAGGUCAUAGUGAUCCGGUGGUUCUGAAUGGAAGGGCCAUCGCUCAACGGAUAAAAGGUACUCCGGGGAUAACAGGCUGAUACCGCCCAAGAGUUCAUAUCGACGGCGGUGUUUGGCACCUCGAUGUCGGCUCAUCACAUCCUGGGGCUGAAGUAGGUCCCAAGGGUAUGGCUGUUCGCCAUUUAAAGUGGUACGCGAGCUGGGUUUAGAACGUCGUGAGACAGUUCGGUCCCUAUCUGCCGUGGGCGCUGGAGAACUGAGGGGGGCUGCUCCUAGUACGAGAGGACCGGAGUGGACGCAUCACUGGUGUUCGGGUUGUCAUGCCAAUGGCACUGCCCGGUAGCUAAAUGCGGAAGAGAUAAGUGCUGAAAGCAUCUAAGCACGAAACUUGCCCCGAGAUGAGUUCUCCCUGACCCUUUAAGGGUCCUGAAGGAACGUUGAAGACGACGACGUUGAUAGGCCGGGUGUGUAAG